GUUGCUAUGUGCUGGAGCUCUGUGGUUUUCAUUAGCUAAAACUAAUCCUAAUACUAAAUAAACUAAACUAAAUGAAAUUGUAGUAAUUGUCGAGUCUAACUGGAGGUUUGUAGAAGACACUGAAAUCUUGAAGAAACGAAGAGGAGUAAGUGGAACCAAUCUGCUGCUGGGUUGUUACCUGGGGCAUUCAAAGGGGCGCACACAGCACCUGAGGACGAACUGGUGAAAUUGGGAUCGAUGCCAAACACGUGUGGCUGCCGAACACAGCAACGCAGGACGAGGUCCUGCAGAGCAUCAUGUCGGUCCACGGUCUGAUCGUCCAACUCCCUCUGGACCCCGUCAACCGCAUCAACACCGAGUUCAUUACCAACGUCGUCAAUCCAGAGAAAGACGUGGACGGGUACAUGGUGUCCUACGGCUCUUGUCGUGUCCUGUUUUUUUUGUUUUUUUUGUGUGUGUGUGUGUGUGUGUGUGUGUGUGUGUGUGUGUGUGUGUGUGAAGUCUGAGUUGUAUUAAUGCAGGGAAAUUGUCUCGAGGUGAUCUGAACGACUGUUUCAUCCCCUGCACCCCCAGUGGCUGCAUGGAGCUCAUCAGACAGACAGGUCACACACUGGAAACACUGGAAAACUUCAGCUUAGUCCAGACACACUCAAUUAAUUUAACCUAUCGAACAUGGCAGAUAAGUUGGGAUAAAUUAUGUCUAUUUACAACUGAAUGUCAACUGCAAACGAGUGAAUCAAAUAUGUCAGCAGUGAAUAUCUCAGUAAAAUAUUUCUGACAGUGUAUUUGUUUCUUCAUGUGCUUCCUGCAGCAUUAUGAAGCAACUCGCUGGUUCAGGAAAGAUUCUUAGAAUAUAGUUUUUGUCACUGAAUUAAAACCAGCAUCUUUACUGACCCUAAAGCACAGACAGGAUUCUGGAUGUGAACCUGGUUUCUGGUGUCACAUUGCUAGACUUUCUAUGUCCUCCAUCCACCCUGACCUCCUCCUACAGACUUGAAAAAUAAAAUAAAAAAUAAAACAAAAAAAUGAUAAUAUAUUUCUGCAUAUGUGUGUAUCAGAUCUGAAGACUUCGUGUCUCAUUUCAGAGUUUUCAGGUUUUUGAAGAUUCUGAAAAUGAGCUGAAUUUGAAAUAGUUUCAGGUGAUGCUGCUUCUAAAUAUUCCAAGGAUUAUUUUCAGAGGAGACUAUCUUAAAUCAUCAAGUUUUAAAUAUUUUGAAGAGGAAUUUUUAAGAGUUCAUUGUUUUUAUGAAGUUUCACAGAUAAUCUUUUUACUUUUCACAUUGUUGGAUUUAUUUUGGAGUGUUUUAUGCUGUGAUUAGUCCUGGUGUUUUAUUCUGUAAAAUAUGAUGAAUAUUCUUGAUUUUUAUAGUAUACUGUGCAAUACUAUUCUGUGUACAUAUACUAGCAGGACAUAUGCUCCACAAGUAUUUUUCUGUUUAAAUAAAAUCUGUGCAAUAUAGAUAAUAAUUUGUGCUAUAUUAAUACUUAUGUCAACAUUUCCAUUU